rnacentral:rRNA from 1 species
GUAGGGGGCAAGCGUUAUCCGGAUUUACUGGGUGUANAGGGAGCGUAGACGGCGAGGCNAGUCUGAUGUGAANACCCGGGGCUCNACCCCGUGACUGCAUUGGANACUGUUUUGCUUGAGUGCCGGAGAGGUAAGCGGAAUUCCUAGUGUAGCGGUGANAUGCGUAGAUAUUAGGAGGAACACCAGUGGCGAAGGCGGCUUACUGGACGGCNACUGACACUGAGGCACGAAAGCGUGGGGAGCAAACAGGAU